AUUCCUUUUAUAUUAUUCAAACAAUAUUUAUGGUUGAAUUUGAAUUUUUUGCAUAUGGUCACAUCAUCAGAAGUGGGAUGAUCACCGUGCAAUCAUGGCUGUUGGUGUGGUUGAUGGAAGUUCCGAAUCCAUUUUCCAUACUCUUAUGUCACUUGGUCCUUCAAGAUCAGCAAGGGAUUUCUGUUUCUACAAAGGCAGUGUGGUUAAGCACGUAGAUGGUCACACUGACAUCAUUCACAAAGAGCUGUAUAGGGAUUGGUUGCCUUGAUUUAUUUUCAUAAGAAUUAUCAGAAGUUGGAUUGAACUACUUUAUCUGCUUGUGGAUGGAGUGGCAUACCCUUGAUAUCAUCACUUCCUCUUGAUUGGUUGUAGCUGUCGUCCAGCCUCCGCAAUAUCUGUAGAGAAUGAAAAAGUUCUUUUGGCAAUGGCAUAUAGCUCGCUGUUCAAUAGAGUGCAGUUCUUAGCAGAUUCUUGAGCUAAUUUUCUCUUUAUGUCUGUGUCUGUCUCUUCAAUUUCCUUGUCUAUAAUUCAAGGAAAAUGAAGUGCACACUAGCUUCACGCAUUGAUAUAAUUAGUACAAGAGAAAGCACAGAAAUAGGGGACAGCAAGCUGAAUAUGACUUUAAAGGGGGUGCACAGGUGCAAAUUCUAUGUGCAGAACCAGAUUCACAAAAGGCACCAAUUGACAAUGAUUUAUCAGAUAGUGAAAUGAAUUCAAAAGAUACAAAGGAAAUGGUCCCAGUCCGACAUUCAGGAAGAAUUACAAGAAAAUCAUAUAAGGAAAAAGUCCAUGCCCUGUAGUUGUUGACAUUGAUAAUGAGGAUACUAUAGAAGUGGAUCAAGUUCGAGAGGAAAAUAAAGAGCAUGCUUCAGGCUUAAAAUCUAAGAAAGUUUCUCGAUCUGCUUCAGCCAUUGCAAAUAAUGAAGUUGUGUCUAGUAACAAUGCAAAUAAUAUUCUUUUGGAAGAUUUGAAGCUUUUUGCUCACAA